rnacentral:rRNA from 1 species
UACGUAGGGGGCUAGCGUUGUCCGGAAUCAUUGGGCGUAAAGAGCGUGUAGGCGGCUCGAUAAGUCCGCUGUGAAAGUCCAGGGCUCAACCCUGGGAUGCCGGUGGAUACUGUCGGGCUCGAGUCCGGAAGAGGCGAGUGGAACUCCAGGUGUAGCGGUGAAAUGCGCAGAUAUCAGGAGGAACACCAAUGGCGAAGGCAGCUCGCUGGGACGUGACUGACGCUGAGACGCGAAAGCGUGGGGAGCAAACAGG